rnacentral:miRNA from 1 species
UAAAGUUCUUGUUAUAUCAUGAUUGUAUCACACUUGUUAAAACAGCCUUGCAGCAAGUCUGGUAAUGCCAUCCACUUUGUUACAGGUUGUUAACAGCUUUGUAACAAGCUUGUUGAUCUUAUCAGACUUGUAGCAAGAUUGUUCCAACAAGUCCGAUAGAGUCAUGAUAUAACAAUAUUGUUA